UCUGCGAAAAUAUGUCACUUAUAAUUAUAAAAUAGAUGGUAUAUUAUAAAUUUAAAAAAAAAUAUCCUUCCCAGAGUGAAAACGUCAAACGGACAAUGGGAGGACACAGUCGAUCUCUGUCUUUCUCACGGUGAUUAAGAUGAGAGCAACAAUUACAGAGAUAUUAUACAUAAAUAAGAAAAAGAAAGUACUACUAUAUAAGCAUGAAUUGUCGGUUAUAUGUAUAUAUUUAAACAAUUUAUUCACUUUGCAAAUAAUGUUGUUUACGAUGUAUCGGAAAAAAGAAAAACUAUAUAUCAAUACCUCAAGUGAUAAGUUUGGAAGAAUUUAUUUUUAUCAUAUUUACACGCAAGCACCUUGUUAUCAUACCUUUGACUUUAAACAAACAACAUUCGCUAUCAGUGAGAAUCAGCCAACAAAACUACUAAAAAUUCUAUGAUCUACGAACGAUGACAUAUAGAACACAUUUGAAUGCAUUCUUUUAGGAAGAGACAUUUAAGAGCAUGGUCGGUCAACAGAAUGAGUUUUAGAAGAAAUAUGUAUAUACAUAAAGCUAUGAAAAAGAAUAUUUGACAGAAAGAGAAACGGAAGAUUCUACAGAUCUACAAAAUUAGGAUACCAUAGGAAUGUUCAAUUAUGAUCUAAAAACAAUGAGAAUUACUAAAAAUUUUAUUAUCUAUCCUCUAAUAACGCAAUAUCCACUUACGAAGAUGGCUGCACCCAAGAUUGCUCGCUUUAAAGAAAAACACAGAAGACAGAUUAUACAACUGUCAUAAAAUUUCGUAAACGCUACUAUUAAUUUCAAUAAUGGAAUAGUACACGGUAAUUUAAAAGUUAAGUUAAUUCGUGAUCGGGAUGAAUGAAUUUGUUGCUAUUACAGGUCUCAUGAUUGAUUUUAAGAUUAUUUUAACAAGAUUAACAAUUGUUAAGAGAUGUAAAAUACAAAAAUAUAGAAGGAUAUCAUAUAUGUCAUGAAAUCUGUAUUGCAAGCAUUUGGAAGGUGAUCACAAAUAGUGAGUUUCACACACACAUUGCUUUUACCUGUAAAGAGGAAAUUUAAAAUCUUCGAGUAUAAAUAAUAUUUACUUACUU